CUGAUGGCGACCGGCGCACGGGUGCGUAACGCGUAUGCAACCUACCUGUAACAGGGGGAUAACACUAAGAAAUCGGUACUAAUACCGCAUAACACUAUGAGAGGCAUCUCUUGUGGUUGAAAGUUUCGGCGGUUACAGAUGGGCAUGCGUUGUAUUAGCUGGUUGGUAAGGUAACGGCUUACCAAGGCGACGAUACAUAGGGGGACUGAGAGGUUAACCCCCCACAUUGGUACUGAGACACGGACCAAACUCCUACGGGAGGCAGCAG
rnacentral:rRNA from 1 species